CGGAGGCUCGCUAGAGCGGUUCUAGCGGGGACAGUACGAACGCAGCGCUCCUAUAGGCUGGAUGUGGCCUCAAAUCUAUUCCUGUACUGUUCCUAUUGGUCCGAUGAAGGUACAGGGCCCCUGUGAUUGGCUGCGGCGUUGUCACUCCCCCAUCCUUCUCCGCCCCUGGGCCCAGGGAGCUAUUUUCCAUUCGGUGGGGGUGCUGGCUGGGGCUGCGCCGUCCCUGCGAGGCAGCGGGAACCGGGUGGGCCCGGGAGCAGAUGAUGCUGGGGCCCCGGGAGGAGUCGGGACGGGGCUGAGAUGCGCCGGCCCCGCCGCAGUUGAACGCAGCCUGAGAGAAUCACCUCUGAGUACCCUUCGCUUCAAUGAAUGGAUGGCAUUGUCCAGAGCUGAACACUCAUCCACUGCAUGGGACUGUAGCACACCACCCUUCUGCCACUGAGCCAAUAUUGUCUUGCUGGCAGCGCUAACCCAGCAAAUCUGCAGCCAUGUACAUCAUUUCCAGUGUUAUAAAGACCUUAAAGGUGCCACCAGACUCCUCGUUGUUUUUGUGGAUACAGACUAAAAUGGCUACCCCUCUGAUAAGUGUUGUAAAGCUUUCCAGCACAAAGAAUGAUGGUUUGAUAUUCCACACCCAUCAUGAAUUUCACUCACUGAUACAUUAAUUGGAUGAGGACCUAUUAAGUCUGUGUCAAAAGAAGCAGGAUUAAUUAAAGGAAUGUUAAUCUCAUCUUCACAUUAGUUCAAUGCAUACACAGUCUGGUGGGCAUGAAGAACCGUACCCAACAGUGGAAUCCUGGAUCCUGAGCUGUCUGUCAAAACAGAGGUUUAGUUACAGAAUAAAUUCACACCCCUCCUCCAUUUUCUCUUGCUGUGGCCAAUCCCCUCCUGGAUAUAUUAUCACCAGAUCUGAAACAAACCACAUGAUUUUGUUUUCUUCCAGGUGGCUGAGUUGUAAGAGGGAAUGUGGAGCUGUUUGGUUGAAAAAAGACCUGUGGCUAUUAUGAAGGAGAGAAGCUCAUCAGCUGAGCCACCUGAACUAGAUACAGUGUCAACUCUUGAGGCUUAUUCUUCUGUCAAAGGCCAUGUGUAGCUCCUGAUGGCAUCUGUGCUCCAACGGGGGUUACCUAUAUCAUGCUGCAGGAAAACAGAGUCCCAGACAUUUAAAAAAAAUAUAUGGACAGACUUUGAAAGGGCCUGAUCCUGUGGUGAGCAGAGUGCACUCAAUCCCUUCUGAAGUUACUAAUAGCCAAGGGCACUCAGUACGUUACAGGAGUAGGCCCAGGAUGUGCAGUGAUACCGAAGAAGGACAUAUUAGUACUGUACUCUCUUUGGGACAGGGACCAUCUGCUCUGUGUUUGUCCAGUGCCUAGCACAGUGAGGCUCUGGUCCAUAACUGGAGCUCCAAGGGGCUACCACACUGAAAUAAUAAUGAUAAUAACAGGGCAGGAGAUAACUCAUGCUGUACGAAGUAGUUAAAAUGUUUUGAAAUGAUUUCCUAAAAAUAAUUCUGUAACCCCAGCUAACACACCUGCCCUUUUCCUGGCUUGGGAUCCAUUUUGGGAUCCAAGUGGAGAAGGUUUUAAAGUGACUUUUGAAAAAUGGCAUCACAGGGUCCCAUGUUGUUUGGGAUAGCUGGGGAGGGCAGGUGGGCUCGUGCUCAGGGCGGGUCAGCUAGGGCUCCUCUGGCUGCG
ensembl:lncRNA